UCUCCGUUGGUGAAUCAGCGGAGGGAUCAUAACAGAGUUUUUAACUCCCAAACCCAUGUGAACUUACCCUUGUUGCCUCGGCGGAGCCUACCCUGUAGCUACCCUGUAGGGUGGUUACUCUGUAGCGCCCCGCCGGUGGAUUUUCAAACUCUUGUUAUUUUUAGUAAUCUGAGCGUCUUAUUUUAAAUAAGUCAAAACUUUCAACAACGGAUCUCUUGGUUCUGGCAUCGAUUAAGAACGCAGC
rnacentral:misc_RNA from 1 species